rnacentral:lncRNA from 1 species
AAGCAGGUUCCCCCUAGGCAGAGCGCCAAGAAGCAGCCCAGGCGAUCCCAAGGCGCACAAGUGCUCUCACCAGGCUGCGCGCUGGCGGGUCGGUGCACAGGGACGGGGUCGCCGCCCACGCGCGCUUGGUUCAGGGAGCCCAGGCUGUCCCUACCCGCGGCUACAAAAGCUCGCCGAGUCUUCCUGUCCACCCAAUCGCCCCACAUGUCAGCGGUUGGUCGCCUCGCGGUGCAGUGCUGGGCACGCGAGCCCCUCCCGCAGUCAUUCUCAGCACAAGCACCAGCCUGGAGCCCCGCAGCGACAGAGCUGAGAGCCCCCAAGCCGCAGAGGUCGUGCGGAGCAGGUUGCAAAUGUCUUAGAAACACACUCCUGGACCACAGCUUCAAGAGACGCAAGCAGUCACCUCAUCUGCUGGUUUCCAAGCUGCCCUGCCAGAAGCAGGUCAGGGGUCCCACAGGGGUCCUCAGUAACUCCUCAAAAUCCUCUCCCAUCAAUGGCCCCACCAGAUCAUCCCUACUUUUGAAUGCUUGUCCAAUGCAGGUUCCAGAUUUGAUUAAGUGAAACAAAGCCCCAGCUGCUGGAGCAGAGGUUCCACUUGGGUUCCACAGACACCCACAGCCCAAAUCCCUGGAGGCCUAAGGCAAUAGCUAAUUGAGACUAUGCAUCACUAUUAAGGCAUCUUCACUAAAGGGCGCUGUGGAAACGCUGCCUGAGAUGCAGACACCUGUCAGAAGGGGGCUAAAUUUCAAACAAGGAACGUGGUGUUGCAUCACAAUAAAGUAGAUUCUAGUAUUACCUUCCUUUUUCAGAAGAGGAGACCAAUGGGGAGCAUUGGAAUGAUUUGGUUGCAAGCAUACUACACUACUUGUAAACUGCAGACACAGGCUUAAAAAAAGUGAAAAACUAACCAUGCAAUAAAGAAUGGAAUGAACCAUGAAGCUGUUUCUGUGGCCAGUCAUGUUUUUGAAGCAUAUCCCAUGCUAAUUUCUAGAACAGAAGAAACACACGUGUUCUUGUGUGUAAACCCAGUCCAUGGAAGAGACCGUCUGCUUGUCCCUCCUGAUCUCUGGGCCCAGACAACCAGUAGUCACCAUUCCAAGUGAGGGGUGGCUGCAACUCUACAGCCCCGUUCGUCUCUCCUCACUGUCAAAGCUGCUGAGACCCCAGACUCGACACUUGAAAGAAACCCAUGUCUGUGAAGCACUUGUGGACCAUUCAAGAUUGUGGAAGAAUCACUCAAGAGAAGGAGAUAGGUGAUGGGAUCUAGCUUCUGAUGGUUUCUAUUUUAUUGAAUGUCUAAUAGGGCAAGAAUUUGAAAAACGAGAAUGUUUGCCAUGCAGGAGGACCUGGGAAGGAGAUAACACAUUUACAGGGAGAAAGAUUGGGAUUCAGUUGGGAGGAGUAACUGAGGAAAGGGGUCACUCAAAAUAUUUUGUAUUUUAGGUCCUUUUUCUAUUAAGGAGGAAUGGAUUAUCAAAGCCUUAACAUUAAAUUGUAUUGUGUCAGGUGAAUUGCUAUGGUUUGAAUGUGGUGUGUCCCCCUCCCAAACUCACAUUGAAUUUUUUUUUUUUUUUUUGAGACGGAGUCUCGCUCUGUUGCCCAGGCUGGAGUGCAGUGGUGCGAUCUUGGCUCACUACAAGCUCUGCCUCCCGGGUUCAAGAGAUUCUCCUGCCUCAGCCUCCCGAGUAGCUGGGAUUACAGAUGUUCGUCACCACACCUGGCUAAUUUUUGUAUUUUUAAUAGAGAUGGGGUUUCACUAUGUUGGCUAGGCUGGUCUCAAACUCCCGACAUCAGGUGAUCCACCCACCUCGGCCUCCCAAAGUGCUGGGAUUAGAGGAGUGAGCCACUGCACCCAGCCUCACGUUGAGGUUUAAUUGCCAUUGUAACAGUAUAAAGAUGUGGGACCUUUACGAGGUGAUUAGGCAAUGAGGACUCUGCCCUCAUGAAUGGAUUAAUGCUGUUAUCAUGGGAGUGGAUUCCUUAUAAAGGGACACGUUCAGCACCCCCUUGCUCUCUCUCUCACCUUCCGCCAUAUGAUGAUGGGGCACAAAGGCCAUCAUCAGAUGUUGGCCCCUUGUUCUCGAACUUCCCAACCUCCAGAGCAGUAAAAAAAUAAAUCACUGUUCUUUAC